rnacentral:lncRNA from 1 species
UUCAGAUGAGACACACAGAACACAGCAUAAGAGACAGACUGUGUAGAGAACAGUGAAAUGCACUCAUGGACAGUGGCUAAAGAGACAGCUGUCUCCUCCAUUUAAGAUACCCAGAAAGACACUGCCUCUCGGCCGAUCAGUCUACAAGGAUUUGGACAACGAUAGGAGCUUCAAGUUGGUCCAUCACAAUCUUGCUUUCUCCCAUUUAAAUAUUUUGUCAUAGAAUUGACAAAAUGAGUGUGAACUGGUACCUUGAGACUUUCUCUUGAACCUUCAGAAAAGUCUUACAGUGGGGGAAUUUUUUUUAAACUUCAUUUAUAUACAGAACUAUGUCUAGCCAUCACUGGUCUUCAGCUGAGUAAUGCUUGUUACAAGCAGCAAGUCUGUUCUCUCUAUGUUCCAGGUCAUCUGCACCAGCAUUAUAAUUUUAGCAAGUUCUCAGCCUUGAUAACUUCCCUGCCCUUUUCUCAGAACACACACACAGACAUCCCAACUGUACAGGCUGUUCUAUGGCUACUAUUGUUCCAUAAGAAGAUACAAAGUGAUGAGGGAGCUCAAC